GUAUUAAUAAGCGGAGGAAAAGAAACUAACAAGGAUUCCCUUAGUAACGGCGAGUGAAGCGGGAAAAGCUCAAACUGAAAAUCUGGUAGGUUAUAGACCUGCCCGAAUUGUAGUCUCGAGAGGCAAACACAACCACAAUCCUGGAUCUAAGUUCUUUGGGUAAAAAGACGAAC
rnacentral:rRNA from 1 species